rnacentral:lncRNA from 1 species
GCCCCUCGAUCACAAGGCUAGUCUGUCAGGUCAGCCAAAUCCACUGAAGCCAUACUGGAAGAACCUUGUGACCCUCUCACAAGAGGUAAGAGUUGAACUGAUGCCCAGCACACUCCCCGGAGAGCUGAGCCCCCACAAAGUUGGGAGUGGGGCAGGCAGAGGGGUGAUGCCUGCCUGGUGCCAGCCUUGAGGAAACCCUGUGGCUCCUGACAGAAGGGCAGAACCUGAUACCUGGGUUUGACUAAGAGCAAAAAAGAGCAGCUCCCACAGCGCCCAGCGCCUGGCAUGUGCUCCACAGACACACGAAGAAAUGAAGGCGGGUACAGGAGAGGAAGGGGACAAGAGGACAGAGGAAGCAGCUGCUCCAGCUCCUCCCCAGGAGGCUCCGGAGGGGAAUUUUCCACUGCCCAGUUCCAUUUAGCUCUGCCUGCCUGUGCUGCUGCCUUGACUCUUCCCAGUGAGAGCAGGAAGGCUGUGGAUCCGGUCGUGGGAAGCAGAGAAGACUGCUAGGCCUGAGCUGACUCCCCUGGAAACCCCAGACUCCAGUGACGUGCUUCUGGAACCUGCUCAGACAAAGUUAGGUAAGAGCCUGGGCAGUGGGUGGGUUGCAACACCCAGCCUGGCUGACCAGAAAGCUGAAGAGGACUGGAAGUUCAAGAAGAAGUAGAGAGGAGGUGGAGAGAGAGAAAGGGCAGAAGGAGGAGACAUCGAAGACCUCCCGAACAUCUUCUGUGGGAUCUCAGAGAAGGCAAAGCUCACCCUCCUGACUCCAGGACUCAUUUGCGUCCAGCCACUGAAUUAUCUACUUGUUACCCCUCCUGUGGAUCUCUCCCGAGGGAAAGAUCUACCUUGGAAGGCUGGUAAUAAAUGGUAAUAAAAGAUCUCUAAGGCAGAAA